AAAUGUAAAAGUUCUUUUAGAAUUUGUCUAGCAGGUUUUCAGGCAUUAUCAAAAGAUCCCA
rnacentral:snRNA from 1 species